rnacentral:tRNA from 1 species
GCCUGGGUGGCUCAGUCGGUUAAGCACCUGACUCUCGACCUCGGCUCAGGUCACAAGCUUGUGGUCCGUGGGUUCGAGCCCCGUGUCAGGCU